UACGUAGGGUGCGAGCGUUAAUCGGAAUUACUGGGCGUAAAGGGCUCGUAGGUGGCCAACUAAGUCAGACGUGAAAUCCCUCGGCUUAACCGGGGAACUGCGUCUGAUACUGGAUGGCUUGAGAUUGGGAGAGGGAUGCGGAAUUCCAGGUGUAGCGGUGAAAUGCGUAGAUAUCUGGAGGAACACCGGUGGCGAAGGCGGCAUCCUGGACCAACACUGACACUGAGGAGCGAAAGCCAGGGGAGCAAACGGG
rnacentral:rRNA from 1 species